UACGUAGGGGGCAAGCGUUGUCCGGAAUUAUUGGGCGUAAAGCGCGUGUAGGCGGCUCGGUAAGUCUGCUGUGAAAGUCCAGGGCUCAACCCUGGAAAGCCGGUGGAUACUGUCGAGCUAGAGUCCGGAAGAGGCGAGUGGAAUUCCUGGUGUAGCGGUGAAAUGCGCAGAUAUCAGGAGGAACACCAAUGGCGAAGGCAGCUCGCUGGGACGGUACUGACGCUGAGACGCGAAAGCGUGGGGAGCAAACAGG
rnacentral:rRNA from 1 species